AUUGAACGCUGGCGGCAGGCCUAACACAUGCAAGUCGAACGAGUGGCGGACGGGUGAGUAAUGUCUGGGAAACUGCCUGGUGGAGGGGGAUAACUACUGGAAACGGUAGCUAAUACCGCAUACUAUCGGAUGUGCCCAGAUGGGAUUAGCUAGUAGGUGGGGUAAAGGCUCACCUAGGCGACGAUCCCUAGCUGGUCUGAGAGGAUGACCAGCCAACCUGGAACUGAGAAACGGUCCAGACUCCUAAGGGAGGCAGCAGGGGGGAAUAUUGGACAAUGGGGGCAAGCCUGAUGCAGCCCUGCCGCGUGUAUGAAGAAGGCCUUCGGGUUGUAAAGGACUUUCAGCGGGGAGGCGUUACCCGCAGAAGAAGCACCGGCUAACUCCGUGCCAGGAGGCGCGGUAAUAC
rnacentral:rRNA from 1 species